AAGUCGUAACAAGGUUUCCGUAGGUGAACCUGCGGAAGGAUCAUUAUUGAAUAAAUCUGGCUUGGUUGAUGCUGGUCUUUUCGAAGAUAUGUGCACACCUUGUCAUCUUUAUAUCUCCACCUGUGCACCUCUUGUAGACCUGGAUUCAACUUUCCGAGGAAACUCGGUUGUGAGGAAUUGCUUAAUAGGCUUUCCUUGUUCGUUUCCAGGGCUAUGUUUUCAUAUACACCUUAUGAAUGUAACAGAAUGUCAUUAUUAGGCUUAAUUGUCUUAUAGACUAUAUACAACUUUCAGCAACGGAUCUCUUGGCUCUC
rnacentral:misc_RNA from 1 species